rnacentral:lncRNA from 1 species
UAAAUGGUUACUUUAUCAUCCCUAAUAUUUAGACACUAUAUUUUCAUAGUAUGGUAAACAAAUGUGAUUAAUUGUGUACUACAAAUAACAAAAUAUCUCUUAUUAAAAUGGAAUAAUUUACUUAAAUUCAAAAAUUUACAAGGAUUAUUUCAAGGUGUGAAUAAAGAAGAGGUUAAAAAAAAUUAGAAGGUUCUAGUUAUGGAUUUAAUAAAAAAAAAAUGUGUUCCUAGAAGUGAGUAAAUAAAAGGGUUUAAGCAAAUGAUAAAGAAGGUCUAUGUAUGUUGGCUAUAUAGGUUUAAGCAAGUGAUAAAGAAGGUCUAUGUAUGUUGGCUAUAUAUGUAAGUUUUUUAAGCAAAUAAUCUUGAAGAAAUUAAAGAUUAUACAACUAUGGUUAAACAACAACUAUUAUUUUGCAAUAUUCUAAUAUGUUAUUUCUUUUAGAGCUAAACUUAAUUAAUAUAAAAACAUCAAUAGUAAUUAUGGUACUAUUACUCUUCUUUGUAUAUUAAAUUUGUUCAUAUUUUCCAGGUAUAUGUCAUUAAGAUAGAAACUUUAAAAAAAUUAUAUCAAGCUGGUAUUCUCCAAAAGGUUACAUGGUAAUUUUAGGCUUAUAAAAAUGACAUAUUAGAAAUUUAUUUAUAUCAUUUAAUUUCUAUAACUGGGCCUAUUAUCAAUAAGAUAUAUAAAGUUUUGUGUUAUUUUUUACACUGAGGUACAAUUUAAAUGUAUUUUUUAGUUAAUGAGAGCCUAAUCUACAUAAAGGUUAAUAUUAUAAAAAACAAAGACAUUUUUCUAUUUUUCUACAAAAAGCUAAAAGCUUUCAGCCUUUCUUUAUUACAUGUUUUAGAUGUAUUAUCAUAUUGUGUUAGUUUUUACUCAAAUAAACUUAAACAAUUAUUUAUAUAAAAUUUUUAAUCUAAUAUUUAAUAAAAACAAAAAUAAACUUUAAAACUACAACACUUUACUUAAAAUUUAUAAAGAGCCCUACUUACCUAAGAUAAGACUCUAUGUCCUAUCUGACUACAUGUAAAAAUAACAACAAAAAUAGUAGGCCAAAUCUCUGUAUAUUUUACUCAUAUCAGAGCACAUUCUACACUGCCAGGACCAUUAACUAAAAAAAAAAAAAAAAAAUCAAAAUAUUGAUCAACUAUUAUUCCCCUUACAAAAGGCUCAUCUAGAACAUGCUUUACAUCAUACAAACACUAAAGGACUUUAUAAAAAAUACAAAAUAACUCAAAAACAAACAUGUGAAAUUAUAGCUAACUGUUCAUCAUGUGCUCCUUUUAAUAUUCCUUAUUGUCCUCCUGGUGUUAAUCCAAGGGGACUCCAUUCUAUUGCUCUUUAACAAAUUGAUGUUGUUAUAAUUCAGUCAUUUGGACAACUAAGAUAUGUACAUCAUACUAUUGACACUCAUACUCAUUUUCUAUGGGCCACAGUUUAUCUUAAAAAAAAAAAAAGCUAAUGCAAUCAUUUCUCAUUUAUUAUCUUGUUUUUGCUCUCAUGGGAAUUCCUUAAGAACUUAAAACUAACAAUGCACCUACAUAUACCUCACAAAAAUCACAUUCAUUUUUACAAAAAUAUGACAUUACACAUACAUUUGGCAUACCUUAUAAUAGUCAGGGUCAAGCUAUUAUAAAAAAGACACAUCAUACGUUAAGAAAAUAUAUACUAAAAAUAAAAAGGGGGGAAUAUGGCUAUGGCUUAUACACCUCAAAAUAUACUUCAUAAAACUUUACUAACUUUAAAUUUUUUAUAUGUCUGGUCAACUUCCAAGGUUCCUGCAGCCCAGCAACAUUUCUCUACAUUUAAAUCUCAGCCAUUAUUUCUAAAAAUUGGAAAUACCUAUGUGGAACAGGGAUGAAAAUAAAGAAUGGAUUUCUAGGUUGUUGCACCACAUGGGGGGGGGGGAUUUGCUCUUAUUUCUACAGGUAAAACACCUUUCUAAGUACCUUCAAGACUUAUCAACUUGCAGAAUGAGUGACCCAUUUGUCAGACAAUUUCAGGAGCUGACUAUGCAAAAAACUUCUACAAUGGCAACGAAAACAGCAGACCCCCCAACAUGGGGACAGAUAAAAAAGUUGACUCAAGAAGCUGAAAAAACCCUUCAAAAGACAAAUCAGCCUUUAAAUCCUGUUAAUAUUUUAUUAGCUAUGCUUGCAGUUAUUAAUUGCCAGGUAAGUAUAGUUUCUGCUCAUUCUUCUGCUUUUUGGGCCUAUGUUCCUAACCCUCCUUUGGUGCACAAUGCUUCCUGGGGAGAACCUAAAGUUCGUGUGUGUACUAAUAAUACUAAUUUUCCCCCCUCCUGCAUGUGGGGGAAUUAAAAAUAUUCCAUUCCAUAAAAAUCUGUAUAAUAUUUCUAAUGUAACUGUAGCUGUUGAAGGAGUCCCAUUGUGUAUAGGGGCUCAUUCUUUCUGUUUGCCUCUUAUAGCACAUAACAACUCUCUUUCUUAUAAUAGUUGGGGAGUUAAUUAUCAUAGUUAUCCUACUGCUGUUUUUACUGUCAUGAUAUCUUCCCGAGGAUUUAAUACCUCUAGUAUGUAUGUUAAUCAAUCAUGGCUAUCAUCUGAAGAAUGCUUUGUCAGAACUCAUCUUCCUUUAUGUUCAGCUAAAUAUUUUAAAACAUUUUUAACUCAUUUAAAGUGGGAAAAAUGUCACAAUCAUCACCCUAAAACAGUAGUCAAAUAUCAAAAUAUCACUAUAGUUGGGUGGAGUCCUGAUCAUUCUGAAUUUAUACAAAGUUGAUCAAAUCGUACUUUAAGAUGGCAUUGACAUAAUGGGACAAUAAAUGCUUGGGGUAAUGAGACAAUUAAAAUGCAACAUUAUGCUUUGGUCCCUCCAAUGUUACAGCAUAUAAGGUUUUCCAAUAUUCAAGGGGAUAUAUGGAAAUUAUGGGCAGUAUCUGGGAAACUCACUGUAUGGACUGGAAAUUUCACGUUAGACGUAUCCCGUUCCUCUCCUUUUGAAGUACAUCUACAUAAUAAUCUGACUUAUUUUGCUUCUGCAUGUGUUAAAUUCCCUUAUUCUCUUAUGAUUGGAAACUGGGAAUGGAAUGUAACUUGGGGAACUAUAUCAUGUAUAGACCGUUAUCUUACUCAAUGUGUAAAUAGAACUAAUUGGGAAUUAAUAGAAAUUAAUAAUUAUUCUUUAGUUAUUGUUAAAGCUCGCACAGAAUUGUGGGUGCCUGUUAAUUUGACUCAUCCUUGCUCUGAUUCAUUGUCUGUUACUCAUUUGUACAAUGCUGUUCAAGUUUUGUUACAUCGCUCUCUACGAUUAAUAGAAAUAGUUAUAGCUUCAUUCCUUGCAGUUGCUUCUGUAACUGCCACUGCUACAGUAGCUGGAGUUGCUUCACAUCAAGACAUUCAAACUGCGAAUUUCGUGAGAACAUGGCAUCAAGAUGCUCAUUUAUUAUGGCAACAACAAAAGGACUUAAACUCUCAAUUGGCUACAGAUGUGAUCAAUUUACAACAUACUGUUUCCUGGCUUGGCGAUCAAGUGACUAUAUUGGCUACCAGAAGUGUUCCGAAGUGUGACUGGAAUUCUUCUCAUAUUUGUGUGACUCCUGUGCCAUAUAAUACCAGUGAUUCCUGGGAAACUGUUAAAAGACGGUUAAAUGGACAUCAAAUUUAACUUUAGAAAUUAUGAAUUUGGAAAAAACUAUUAUGGACACCUUUAGUAAGACAUUACCUGAACUAACAGGAUCUAACAUUUUACAAAAAUUGUCUUCAAGUAUUGCUAAUUUAUAUCCCUUAAGUCAUUUCUCUACCUUGUUGUCAACUUCUUUAGGUAACACUGUAAUAAUUUUUGUUUUGUGUUUUGUUUUGUAUAUAGUCUUCCAACGCUGGAAAAAGCGAAGGCAACUGAAACAUGAAACCUCUCUUUUCCUUCUGCUAUGGCUCUUUUACAAAAACAAAAGGAGGGAAAUACAGAGAAUCAGAUGUGACUGCGUUACUAUUCCUGUCCUUGAUGGAGUUUGCCUACAAACAGGAUAUUCUGUCAAGGUAUAGAUAGGUAACAGCGGACAUGCUUGAAAACGAGGUGUCUGCUGUCCUUGGGAGGGCCUACUUGCAAACGAGAGGCUCCUUCAAGGUUUAGAUAAGGUAACUGCAGACAUGCUUGAAAACAAGGUGUCUACUGUCCUUGGGAGGACUUGCCUGCAAACGGGAUGUUCUGCCAAGUGGGCUAGGAGGGCGCUAAGAAAAAUUUUAUUAUCUGUUCUUAACAAAGAGCAGAGCUCAACAUACUCAGGGCCGAGAAUAGAUUAGCCAUGAGAAGCGGGUCACUUCUGAUUAGAAAGUAAAACUUCUGUAUGCUAUGUUUAAUUAGCUGAAAGACCUGAUUUAUUGAUGUUGGAAGGCUGCCUUCUUUGUUCACAAUACUAUAACAAGAUUGCUGUACACAAUAAAGGGCUUUUUUUCUGCUGCUGCUUUGCUUGCUCUGCUUCUUCUUUCUUUUCCCAUGCUGACCUGCAAGUGAAUUACUGCAACACAGAUUUAGUCUGUGACAUAUUUAAAAAUGUGUGUGCGUGUGUUAUAAUUGUGUGAAAUAUAAUGUGUGAUUUGAGUGUUAUUAGAAAUUAGACUGGGGGGGGCUGGGGUUGUAGCUCAGUGGUUCAGGGCUCACCUAGCACGAGUGAGGCACUGGGUUCGAUCCUUAGCACCACAUAAAAAUGAAAUAAAGGGAGGGCUGUGACUGUGGGUCAGUGAUAGACUGCUUGCCUAGCAUGUGUGAGUCACUGAGUUCAACCUCAGCACCACACAAAUAAAUAAACAGAUUAAAAUGUAUCAUGUCCCUCUAUAACUAAAAAAAAAAUAUUAAAAAAAAAUAAAUUAGAUUAGAAUGGAAUAAAAGAACUUGAGUUUGCCUGGGUUAUGACUAUCAGGUGACCCUCAAGUAUUGUUGAAUUGCCACCACUGAAAGUGGUGUAGCUUGUGAAUUCAUUGUUAUUCAACAAAUUCUGACAUUAUGGAAAAAUGCAAAUGGUUUUGGUUUCUGUUGGUGGCACAGCUUGCUCAUGGCAUGUAUGCAUACAAGAAAAGGAAAAUUUGGACACAGACUCAAAGGAGAAAGUACCACAUGGAGAAGGAGCAGAUUGAAGUAAGGCCAGGGGUCUUCCAGAGGCGGGAAGAGUCAGGGAACAGUCCUGUAGGCUUCAGAGAGAACACAUCCCUGCCAACACUUUAAUCUCAGACUUCUAGCCCUGGAACCAUUAAAUCCAUCUCUGUUGUGCCACCAACACUGCUAUAGCAGCCCUAGAAAUAUUCAUAUAUUUUAUAAAAUCUUUUUGUUUAUAACUUUUUGUUUCUCAUAGAGAAAUACCUAGGAUUGGGGACUGGAGCUGUGGCUCAGUGGUAGCGCACUUGCCUGGCAUGUGUGAGGCACUUGGUUCGAUUCUCAGCAGCAUGUAUAAAUAAAUAAACUAAAGGUCCACUAACAACUAAAAAAAAAAAAAUUAAGUCAUUUUCUGUGCAAUUCAAUAUUAAAAAAAAAAAGAAAGAAAAAAAAUACCUAGGAUUGCAAUUUCUAGGUCCUAGAGUAUCUGUAUCUUUAAACUUUUCUGUUGUUUUUGCAGUACUGGGGAUGAGUCCAGGGCCUUGGGCAUGCUAAGCAAGUGCUCUGCCACUGGAGUGCAUCCCCUAACCUGUAUGCUUAAAUUAAAAGAAACUGCUAAGCAAUUUUUCAAAUUAGUUGUCUAGUUUACACGUCCACAAACAGUAGAUAGCUGAUGCAAUUACUGUACAAACUUUCCCAAAUAUGUGUAGUCAGUUCUAUUUCAGCUCUGCUGAAUGGGUGAAAUGAUAUCUCAUUGUGGUUUUAAUCUGUACUACCACACUACCAGUAGUGGCAAUAAUCCUUCAUGUAGUUAUUGCGUGUGUGUGUGUGUGUGUGUGUGUGUAAUUCUAGUAAAAUCUUUUUAAUAUUGAUUUGCAAAAGUUCUUUAUAUAUUCUGGGUAUCAGGCCUUUGGCACGGUGCUCUGAAUAUUUCUUCCACUGUAUGGCUUUCCUGUUUUGUUUUUAUUAUUAUUAUUGAAAUUGAAAGCCUUUUUUUAUUUAAAACUCACUAACAGGUAUGGUGGCACACACCUGUAAUCCUAGCUAUUCAGGAGGCUGAGGCAGGAAGAUCACAAGUUAAAGGCCAGCCUGGGCAACUUAAUGAGAACCUGUCUAAAAAUAAAACAAAGAGUCUAGCCAAGUAUGCUGGUGCACACCUGUAAUCCCAGCAAUUUGAGAGGCUAAGGCAGGAGGAUCACAGGUUCAGGCCCAGGAAAAUUGCCACAGUGAGGAACCUCCCAUUUCCUGUCCCCAUUGGGUUUCAGCAGAGUGCAGCUUCCCCUGCCUGUGAUGACAACGCGUGGCCCACUCCCACACCUAGAGCUGACACCGUACACCGUGAAACUGCCGCCUAUCUGGACCCUCUGCUUUGACAGCUCUGCCGACUGGAACUGGUCGUUAAAAUCCAGUUCCAGUGACUCUUUGCAUUCAUCUCUCAGUGCUCUUGGCUCAGUAUUCUGUAACCUUGCGGCUGCUUUCUUUCUGUGGCCCAUUUAUAUGUCACUGUGUGAAGUGGGUGUGCCUAGAGGAUGGGAAUAAAAGAACCCGUGACAGCCCGGCUUACGCCCACCAGACGACCCAGGAGCGCUCAGCGAACCUCCGCGGUGGCGGUGGGGGGCAUUCGGCAAGUUCUGACGCUGCGGAGAGGCGGCGGGGCGGCCCGUGUCGAAGGCAGGCUCGCUCAGUCGCUUCCACUGGGCCCCGGCGCUCCACCUCGGUGUGCAGCGGCGUCGCCCUCCUCUUUGGAAGGCUUUACGGGCCCAGGCUCGCACGCCGCGCGUCACCCGUUCAGCGCGCACAACCCCACACUACAGAACUUCGGAAAACCAGAGUCACCCACCUUAAGUGGACUCUGCGGGAGUCACGGAGACCCGGGCGAACCGCGCCGAGCAGCUCGCCCGGCUUCCCUCUCCCGACACCGAGCGGCAGAAAAGAGCGAGCCUGCAGCUCCGACCCACUUCGCCGCCGGGCGGGCCACAGAGUCCCGCCCUCCGCUUUGCUAGAGCGGCCCGGAAGUGUCUCGCGCCCCCGUCCCCGGCCCCCGGGUCGCGAACCAUAGAGCCGAGCGCUCCGCUUUCCUAGAGAGGCCCGUGAGAGUCUGGGGCCACACGGAGGCCGCGCCCAGCUUCUGGCUUGCUGCUGCGGACGGCUCCAGGUGCGGGGGCGUGAGGGCGCGGGAGGGGGCACUGGGGCGACAUCCCCGCGGUGGCGUCGCGAGCGGAGACCCGGCCCCUCGGUGUGGGAGAUGGCCCUACGAGUUUGUCUUGAGCGCCGGGCGGACACGGCCGCGGGGUGCGAAAGGGCCGUUUAUCCGGAAGAGGGGAGCCGGGCCUGGGCAGCGGCAGCACGUCAGAGCCCAGGGGCCUCUGAAUACUCGUGAGGGAGCGCCCUGCUCCCUCUACCCAGCUUGUCGAGGUGGACCGUGCACUCCCCCUGGGGCAAAUGUGUGGGCACGUCGCCCGUGACGACGAUGUCACCACUGUUUUUUCAGGUAGUGCCACAGCCCUCUUUACGUGGUGCACUGCCUCUACCUGGUCCUCCUGCAGGGGAGGCUGAGUGUAGCCCCUGUGCUAACGCGGCCCUUCUUAGUGGGCAGGUUUAGACGCUAGUUUUUGGCUUGGGCAGCUGCAUUUGUAGGCUGGAUUUCCUUUGUGAGGUGAAAAUGAUUAGGUCUUGCAGGGACGUUGUGAAUAUUCUGGGUUGAGUAGUGAGGGGUCCCAACUGCCGUGUCCUGUGCCUGCGGGUAUUUCUCCUAAUAUAAUCUUGUAUCUGUUAGUUUAGGAUUUACAUACGCUCGCUCUCUUUUUUUUUUUUUCUUGGUUCUCUUCCUUUUCACCCACUUCCCUACCAACUCCUGCUCAUCUCAGACGUCACUUCCUCUGAGAAGCCUCCCCUCUUAUCAGGACCCAUGUGGGCCUCUUUUCCACCUGCUCACGGGGUCAUUUCCCUGGUCCCAUCACACCUACUGUCACUGGUACUUCAAUCCAUCAGCAUCCUAAUGGUGGGGUCCACAUGAUCCUUAAGGUCCUAAGGAUGUGGCAGUCACUGGCCUUCCCUCCCCCUUCCCUUCAGGGAGCUGUGGCUGGGACCUCCCCUCUGGCUGAUCAAGGAGGAGGAAGCAGCGAUGUCUGCCUUAGGGACUGCAGCUCCAUACCUGCAUCAUCCUGCUGACAGUCACAGUGGCCGGGUCAGUUUUCUGGGGCCCCAAGUCCCUCCAGAGGUGGCAGCAAUGGCCCGGUUUCUGGGAGACCUGGACAGGAGCACAUUCAGAAAGUUGCUGAAGCUUGUGGUUAGCAGCUUGCAGGGAGAGGACUGCCGAGAGGCCAUGCAGCACCUGGGUGCCAGUUCCAGCCUGCCAGAGGAGCAGUUAGGUGCCCUACUUGCUGGCACACACACACUACUCCAACAGGCUCUCCGGCUUCCCUCUCCCAGCCUGAAGCCUGAUGCCUUCAAGGACCAACUCCAGGAGCUCGGCAUCCCCCAAGACCUGGUUGGGGACUUGACCAGUGUGGUUUUUGGUGGUCAGCGCCCCCUCCUGGACUCUGUGGCCCAGCAGCAGGGUUCCUGGCUUCCCCACAUUGCUGACUUUAAGUGGAGGGUGGAUGUGGCAAUUUCCACCAGUGCCCUGGCCCGCUCCCUGAAGCCAAGCAUCUUGAUGCAGCUGAAGCUUUCAGAUGGGUCAGCAUAUCGCUUCGAGGUUCCCACAGCCAAGUUCCAGGAACUGCGGUACAGUGUGGCGCUGGUCCUGAAGGAGAUGACAGAUCUGGAGAGGAGGUGCGAUCGCAGACUGCAGGACUGAGCCUCCCUUGUCAGCAUUGCAGCUGGUGCCAGAAUGCAACUUGCAUUUCCUCUAGUUGGAUGCUAGACUGCAUGUCACCCCUUCCCCAGGUUUUUUUUGUUGUUGUUGUUGUUGUUGCUUCUGAGUGUGGUAAAGUGACAGUCUGGGGUCCAAAUCAGGGUCCUCUGAAUAUGCCUUUGCUCAGCCUGACCCCACUAAGCAUCUGGGCCCUUUUUCUUGUUUGCUUUCAUAAAUGCUGUUUUUGGUGUGGGCACUUUUGUCUGUCUUAAAUCCCUGCCCUUGUGGGGCUGAUAUCGUUGUGGGUUGGGAAGCGGGGGAAACAUUACAAAAUGCAUAGUAAACAGUGGGUACAGCUUAUCAAGGGGUGACAAAUGUGUACUUAGUUUUGAGCAAGGUGGGGUAUAGGCUGUGAGGACAUGCCUGCCCCUAUACGCUGUAUCAUGGCUGGACUUCCUGGAGAACAUGGUAUCUGAGCAGACUUGAAAGACAGGAGUUGGGGGAAUGAAGUCCACUGGGGGACCAGCUGGUGCACAGGUGAUGAGUAGAGAGAGACCAGGUAUAUUGGAUGUCACGUGCCUCCAACCAAGUAGGAGGAGGUCAUUGGAGGGAGGUAAAGCUGGGGAGGGUACACAGGUCAGGUCUGAGAAAUUCUGCUCAAAGUAUUGUGGUUGAAGUCUAAGCCAAAGUGGGAGUCCCUGAGGGUUUUCAACAGAGGAAGGAUGUACUCUGGUGGUUGUUUUAGAAGGAUAACACUUCUAUUAUUUUAAAGGAUAACAUUAUCCAGGGGUGGUGGUAAAUAUGUGUAAUCCCAGGCACUUGGGAGGCUGAGGCAGGAAGAUUGCAAGUUCAAGACCAGCCUCAGCAACUUAUUGAGACCUUUUCUCAAAAUUAAAAAUAAAAAGGAUGGGGAUGUAGCUCAGUGAUAGAGUGCCCCUGGGUUCAUUAUCCAGUUCCAUGAAAAUAAAUAAGUAAAAGGAUAAUACUGUUUCUGUGUUUAGAGUAGUAUGUAGGGGAACAGGGAGGAGGUUGAGAGUCCACUAUGAGGGGUGCUGUUGUAAGGUGGAGCUGCUGGAUAGGGUAGGGGGCCUUUCUGAGUGCCUCCAGGGUAGCUAUGUUGGGGGGGGGGUGUAUGGCCAGCUUUGUAGUCCUCAGAAUAGCCAUUCUCUGGCUAGGGGUCUUAGGGCUGUCAGACUAUCUGCUUGAGGGGUCCCUGCUUCCUGCACUUUUUUAGUCUACAUCUGGUUGGUUCUCUGCUGAGAAACCAGUUCAUACAUCUCAUAGGAUAAUCAGGCCUAAGUGCAGGAACUUCUGAGAACAGCAAAUAAAGUUUGCUGUUCCGGGCCAGCCUGUUACUCACAUAGGCUGUUUGAAAAAUGCUUGGUUUCUUCCAUCUCAGUGAACACCUUUUUUUCUCUUGAGUGAGAACUACAGCUGUGGCAACUUAGGUGUGGGCCACAGGGAAAGGAAAAGGCUGCCUUUUGAGGACAGAGGGCUGCCAGGGAGGCUGCUGUGUUUCUAGAGCUGGAGGAUUCACAGGCCUGGCUCAGCUAAGGGUGCAGAAUGCCCCUGUGUCCUUCAGCCUCAGCUGGGUCCCCCAGGACCACUGGCCCACCUUGAAGGGAACAAGGAGAUCCAGACCCGCAAAAAAGGAUGUACACAAGUAAGCAGAGUGCCCAUGUCAACCUUAUCCAGUGACAGAGCUUUUUAUGUCACAUACUUAUGAUCUCAACUAUUAGAUGUGUUGGAGACUAUGUACUCAUGAUACAUUUGGAAAUAAAACAGGAAUGUAGGGACAAAAAUUUUUUACUUAAGUCCCUCCAUACAGUGGCACUGAGGCCAGAGGAUCCCAAGUUUGAAGCCAGCCUGGCAACCUAGUGAGACCCUGCAUCAAAAUAAAAAUUUAAAAAUGGCUGGGAAUGUAGUUCAGUGGUGGAGUGUGCCUGGGUUCAAUACCCAGUACUGGAAAGAAAAAAAAAGUCCCUUUGCCCACAUGUAAAGCAUCUUGACACUGCUAUGAGUCUAUCUAACUGUCCACAUGGCUCUGUGGUAAAGUUCAAUCCCCAGUACUAAAAAACAAAAACAAAAAGAACAGAGAAAGAAAGGUGCCAGGCAAAGCAGUCAGAGUGAAUUCUAGGCACACCACUUCUGGACUUCUAACAUGAGCCCAAACACGUCGGCUUCACUUGCUUUAUCUUUUCAAGCUUUUUCACGAAAACAAACUUACAGCCCUUACCUCCACUGGCCAGGGCUCUAGGCACACACUGAAAGGGCAGAGGCAGAGGACUUGGAGAAGCAGGUAAUACCAUGUUCCACCUCACAGAGGGGCUUUGAUGUACCCUGAAUAGAACUGAGUCAAGACCCUUCACUUAGUAGUCUUCGUGUCUGCUUCUUAAGGAGGGAGAAAAACUGUUAAGGAAAACUGUAUUCAGGAUGUAAUGCUUUGUAAGGUCAACUACCCAGGACCACCUCAGAAGGCAGAGGGGAGAUGGCAGCCCAGGCACAUGGGGACAUAUAGGCCAUGAAGCUGGUGGGGGAGUGGAUGGAUAAGAAAACUUGAGUUUAAGGGGACUUCUGGUGAAACUGACCUAUCAGGGUUCUUGUUAAAAUGGGACAGUGCAUAAAAGAACAUGGAAGCUGGAAAGUUGUUAUGGUGAGCAAGCUAUGCCAUUAACACAGACUGCUCAUAUUUGUAAAUUCCACAAUAUCAGAAUUUGUUGAAUAAAUUCACAGGCUACAUCAGUUUUUUCAUCACCGUUAAUUUACUGAUACUUAUGGUGUGACUGUGGUAAUCACAAAUUAUUCUGUUCCAAUUUUAAUUACUAAUAUCGUUAACACCAAAGUGGAUUUAUAAGUUACAGAACCGUUAGGGAAGGGAUAACCAUGGCCUCAGAGUUUGUUUAUUGCAGUGCUGGGGAUGGAACCAAGAGCCUUGUGCUUGCCGGGUAAGAGCUCUCUACCCAUGAGCUAUAUCUCCAAUCAACCCUUUUUUAUUUUAAGACAUGUCUAAGUUGGCUAAGCUAUUCUUAACUUGCAAUCCUCCUGCA